rnacentral:rRNA from 1 species
UACGAAGGGGACUAGCGUUGUUCGGAUUUACUGGGCGUAAAGCGCGCGUAGGCGGAUCACUAAGUCAGGGGUGAAAUCCCGAGGCUUAACCUCGGAACUGCCUUUGAUACUGGAGAUCUGGAGAUCGGGAGAGGUUGGUGGAAUUCCGAGUGUAGAGGUGAAAUUCGUAGAUAUUCGCAAGAACACCAGUGGCGAAGGCGGCUCACUGGCCCGAUACUGACGCUGAGGUGCGAAAGCGUGGGGAGCAAACAGG